GACGAACGCUGGCGGCGUGCUUAACACAUGCAAGUCGAACGGAAAGGCCCUGCUUUUGUGGGGUGCUCGAGUGGCGAACGGGUGAGUAACACUUGAGUAACCUGCCCUUGACUUUGGGAUAACUUCAUGAAACUGGGGCUAAUACCGGAUAGGAGCUCCUGCUUCAUGGUGGGGGUUGGAAAGUUUCGGCGGUUGGGGAUGGACUCGCGGCUUAUCAGCUUGUUGGUGGGGUAGUGGCUUACCAAGGCUUUGACGGGUAGCCGGCCUGAGAGGGUGACCGGCCAAAUUGGGACUGAGAUACGGCCCAGACUCCUACGGGAGGCAGAAGUGGGGAAUAUUGCAAAAUGGGCGGAAGCCUGAUGCAGCAAAGCCGCGUGCGGGAUGACGGCCUUCGGGUUGUAAACCGAUUUCGCCUGUGACGAAGCGUGAGUGACGGUAAUGGGUAAAGAAGCACCGGCUAACUACGUG
rnacentral:rRNA from 1 species